rnacentral:miRNA from 1 species
UUAUUUGGCACAUCAGUGACAG